rnacentral:rRNA from 1 species
AACGAACGCUGGCGGCGUGCUUAAUACAUGCAAGUUGUGCGAGAAAGCGGGGGCAACCCCGCAAGUAAAGCGGCGCACGGGUGAGUAACACGUAAGUAACCUGCCUUCAAGUUCGGGAUAACCCUGCCAACGCGGGGCUAAUACCGGAUGUGGUCCCGGGGUCACAUGGCCCUGGGAUUAAAGCUGACCUCUACUUGUAAGUUUGCUCUUGAAGAUGGACUUGCGUACCAUUAGCUAGUUGGCAGGGUAACGGCCUACCAAGGCUGUGAUGGUUAGCCGACCUGAGAGGGUGAUCGGCCACAUUGGGACUGAGAUACGGCCCAGACUCCUACGGGUGGCUG